rnacentral:rRNA from 1 species
UACGAAGGGGGCUAGCGUUGCUCGGAAUCACUGGGCGUAAAGCGCACGUAGGCGGAUCUUUAAGUCAGGGGUGAAAUCCCAAGGCUCAACCUUGGAACUGCCUUUGAUACUGGGGAUCUCGAGUCCGGAAGAGGUGAGUGGAACUGCGAGUGUAGAGGUGAAAUUCGUAGAUAUUCGCAAGAACACCAGUGGCGAAGGCGGCUCACUGGUCCGGUACUGACGCCGAGGUGCGAAAGCGUGGGGAGCAAACAGG